rnacentral:rRNA from 1 species
UGAGGAAUAUUCGUCAAUGGGGGCAACCCUGAACGAGCAACGCCGCGUGGAGGAUGAAGGUUCUUGGAUUGUAAACUCCUUUUCUGUGGGAAGAGCAAGGACGGUACCACAGGAAUAAGUCACGGCUAACUACGUGCCAGCAGCCGCGGUAAUACGUAGGUGGCAAGCGUUAUCCGGAAUUACUGGGCGUAAAGCGCACGCAGGUGGUUACUUAAGUCUGAUGUGAAAGCUCCUGGCUUAACUGGGAGAGGUCGUUGGAAACUGGGUAACUUGAGGUGAUGAGAGGGGUGUGGAAUUCCCGGUGUAGUGGUGGAAUGCGUAGAUAUCGGGGGGAACACCAGUGGCGAAAGCGGCACCCUGGCAUUGACCUGACGCUCAGGUGCGAAAGCGUGGGUAGCGAACGGGAUUAGAUACCCCGGUAGUCCACGCUGUAAACGAUGAAUACUAGGUGUGGGUGAUAUCAAAUUAUCUGUGCCGAAGCUAACGCGAUAAGUAUUCCGCCUGGGGACUACGGCCGCAAGGCUA